AAUACCUGUAAAUCAUGCAAGUAGAUUACUUGAUUCUACUUUAUAUCAUUAACCAUUCUCUACUUGUAGUCGUUCUUUUCUUUAUUAGCUAUUUUCGUUCAUUAGCUAUUUUCUUUAUUCUUUACUCUUUGUCAUACUGUGCUCACUGGCGAUUCUUUCCUAAGGUUAUUUUACCUUAGCCAUCUAUACCACUCGACUCGGUCUUGAGUCAAUCAUCCGCGAAGUACCGCAUCAAGUCAGGCUCGAGGUGAAGGACGUCUCACAAGCACCUCAGCCUUAAGUCCACGCGACACUAGGUCCAUCACAGGGAGAGGAGAACCGUCGAUCCCCGUGACCCUAAGUCGCUCAAGCUUAACGGGCGAGGAGAACCGUCAAACCCGUUGAGCUCAUACCGGGAGAGGAGAACCGUCGAUCCCGUAGUUUUGAUUCACUUGUUUCCUGCCAUACCGAGAGAGGAGAACCACCGAUCCCGUUGAAUCACUACCGGGAGAGGAGAACCGUCGAUCCCGUAGUUCUGAUUCUAUUUAUGCCAACAGCACUGGAUUCCUCAACCCACUUUCACAACUUAAGGGUUUAGUCACUUACCCUAUGCUGACGACCUUCCAAGGUCUAUAUCAUUCAAUUUCUAGUGGUCCUACCACCACUAUAAUUCAUAACUUAGUUCAAUUUUACUAAGUGUCACUAUACCUUAUAACCUAGGUUCGUUUACACUAGAUUUUAUAUUCUUUCACCUAGAUCUCGACUCUAGAUUUACUAAUUCAACCUAUGUUCAAUGACAUUAGGUUCAUUCCAUGUCCAACCUAUGUUUAAUAACACUAGGUUCAUGCCACUCGAUCUAUUUAUUAUCCUAGUUAUCCACGUCUAGGAUUAUAGUUUACACGUUUCAUGUUCAAUUUACAUGACUUUAGUCUAUGUAUCAACAUUCAUAUAUCAUUUAUAAUUCAUAUGUUCAUAUACCAACAUUCCUAUGCAUUUAGCAUGAACUACAAUACAUUCGUAUGCGUCUAGUAUGUUCGUCAUAUGACAAUCAUCAUAUAUCAUCUAGCAUGAGAUUCACAUUCAUAGGUAUUUAUUCAUAUGUCUCUAGCAUUCACUUUCAUAUAUGUUUAGUCUUAUGCAACUAGCAUUCAUAUUCAUAUGUCGAUUAUCAUAAUAUGUCAACAAUCAUAUAUGCUCUAACAUCUAUAUAUUAUCCUAGUUGUCCAUAUCUAGGAUUAUUGCUUACACAAUCUCAUUUGUAACUGUCGGAUUCUCUAAUCAAUUUAGAGUUAUCGACCCAUAUUCUGCUUGUAUGAUUCUAACAGGCUCACAUUAUGUUCAUAUUCAUGCAUCAUCGGGUAUUAUCCACAAGAUAUUGACAUGCAUAUUCUA
rnacentral:lncRNA from 1 species